rnacentral:rRNA from 1 species
AUUGAACGCUGGCGGCAUGCCUUACACAUGCAAGUCGAACGGUAACAGGUCUUCGGACGCUGACGAGUGGCGAACGGGUGAGUAAUGCAUCGGAACGUGCCCAGUCGUGGGGGAUAACUGCUCGAAAGAGCAGCUAAUACCGCAUACGAACUGAGGGUGAAAGAGGGGGACCGUAAGGCCUCGCGCGAUUGGAGCGGCCGAUGUCAGAUUAGCUAGUUGGUGGGGUAAAGGCCUACCAAGGCAACGAUCUGUAGUUGGUCUGAGAGGACGACCAGCCAUACUGGGACUGAGACACGGCCCAGACUCCUACGGGAGGCAGCAGUUGGGAAUUUUGGACAAUGGGCGCAAGCCUGAUCCAGCAAUGCCGCGUGCAGGAAGAAGGCCUUCGGGUUGUAAACUGCUUUUGUCAGGGAAGAAAUCUUCUGGGCUAAUACCCCGGGAGGAUGACGGUACCUGAAGAAUAAGCACCGGCUAACUACGUGCCAGCCGCCGCAGUAAUAC